rnacentral:miRNA from 1 species
CGGGUUGUACCUUUUUUGC